rnacentral:rRNA from 1 species
GUGGGGAAUUUUGGACAAUGGGCGAAAGCCUGAUCCAGCAAUGCCGCGUGUGUGAAGAAGGCCUUCGGGUUGUAAAGCACUUUUGGCGGGAACGAAACGGUUCGGGCUAAUACCCUGGGCUAAUGACGGUACCCGCAGAAUAAGCACCGGCUAACUACGUGCCAGCAGCCGCGGUAAUACGUAGGGUGCAAGCGUUAAUCGGAAUUACUGGGCGUAAAGCGUGCGCAGGCGGUUAUGUAAGACAGAUGUGAAAUGCCCGGGCUCAACCUGGGAACUGCAUUUGUGACUGCAUGGCUAGAAUCUGGCAGAGGGGGGUAGAAUUCCACGUGUAGCAGUGAAAUGCGUAGAUAUGUGGAGGAACACCGAUGGCGAAGGCAGCCCCCUGGGCUAAGAUUGACGCUCAUGCACGAAAGCGUGGGGAGCAAACAGGAUUAGAUACCCCAGUAGUCC